GAUGAAGAACGCAGCGAAAUGCGAUAAGUAAUGUGAAUUGCAGAUUUCAGUGAAUCAUCGAAUCUUUGAACGCACCUUGCGCCUUGUGGUAUUCCACAAGGCAUGCCCGUUUGAGUAUCAUUAAAUCAUCAACUCUAAAACCUUUGUGGUUUUUUUAGAGCUUGGUCUUGAGGGUUUUGCAGGCUUUUUUUUUUCGAGUCUGCUCCCUUUAAAUGCAUUAGAGAGACUUCCCUAUGCUGAACCGUCUCUUUGACGUGAUAAUUAUCUGCGUCGAAUUUUGGUUCUCGUUGGGCUUGCUUCUAAUCGUCUGUUAAAGACAAAACGGAUUUGGGUGCAUAUAUGCGCCUUUUUCCAAAACCUUUUUUGAUCUCAAAUCGGGUAGGACUACCCGCUGAACUUAAGCAUAUCAAUAAGCGGAGGA
rnacentral:misc_RNA from 1 species